AACUUAAACAAAUCUAAGGUUUUAAUUAGUUGUGAAGAAGAAGAAGAAUAUGGGUCACGCUAAUGUCUGGAAUUCUCAUCGUAGUUGACCUUAGAUUUGACAGUUAAUGAAGUUAAUGAGCCAAGGGUUUUGAGGUGAUAUUAUUCAUUUGAUUAGCAUUUUAGUUGUUUUGAAAAUCUGCGCUAGUAGAUCUUGCUCAGGUAACUAUGAUUGAACUCCAUUCAGGGUUCUUGGGAUGAUGGUGUGGUGGUGGUGAUGAAACAAAAGAGUAAUUUGUUUCAAAUGAAAGAUCUGAGGUUAGUAUGGCCCCCUUCGUUAAGGGAAUCGAGAUGUUGAAACAAAAGACAAAUUUAGUUAACAAGAGGCCAACAGAACUGCACAUAAGUGUUAGACAAAAAGCCUGAAAGAAAAGGGGUAAAAAUUCUUAUCUUAUUCUCC